UACAUUCACUGAAAAGUCAAACUUCAAUGUCGACACUGGCUUCUGGGACUUUGGAUCACUAAGUAAACAUAUUCCAACUCCUCAGAGUUGCCCAAAAUACAGGGAAAAUAUCCACUUGCAUGAAAAAUGGUGCUUUUAGCACCAAACACAUGAAUCUGGUUUUGUCAGUAAUAUCUUGCUUUGUCCUGCACUACCAGAAAACUGUUCAUGUGGGGGCACCUUCCAUGAUGUACAAACACCAGAUGGCAUUAACCUACUACAGCAGCACAGGACAAAAACAACA